CUGGUUGAUCCUGCCAGUAGUCAUAUGCUUWGUCUCAAAGAUUAAGCCAUGCAUGUCUAAGUAUAAGCAAUUUAUACAGUGAGACUGCGAAUGGCUCAUUAAAUCAGUUAUCGUUUAUUUGAUAGUACCUUACUACUUGAAUAACCGUGGUAAUUCUAGAGCUAAUACAUGCUUAAAAUCCCGACUGUUUGGAAGGGAUGUAUUUAUUAGAUAAAAAAUCAAUGUCUUCGGACUCUUUGAUGAUUCAUAAUAACUUUUCGAAUCGCAUGGCCUUGUGCUGGCGAUGGUUCAUUCAAAUUUCUGCCCUAUCAACUUUCGAUGGUAGGAUAGUGGCCUACCAUGGUUUCAACGGGUAACGGGGAAUAAGGGUUCGAUUCCGGAGAGGGAGCCUGAGAAACGGCUACCACAUCCAAGGAAGGCAGCAGGCGCGCAAAUUCCCCAAUCCCGACACGGGGAGGUAGUGACAAUAAAUAACGAUACAGGGCCCUUUCGGGUCUUGUAAUUGGAAUGAGUACAAUGUAAAUACCUUAACGAGGAACAAUUGGAGGGCAAGUCUGGU
rnacentral:rRNA from 1 species